UAACCUAUGUAGUAAUAUAUAGCUGAAUUAUCAGAAGUCAGCAGACGUCAUAGUACCUGAGUUAAUCGCGAUAACGAAGGGAAGGAC
rnacentral:ncRNA from 1 species